rnacentral:RNase_MRP_RNA from 1 species
GCUUGUGCUGAAGGCUUGUUUCCUAGGCUACACACUGGGCCCUUGCUCCUUACUCUUCUGUCUGUGGGAAGGUCCCCGGGCCUGGGGCGGAGAGCGCCACGUGUGCGCGCAUGUGCACAUUCACGCUUCCCACUGCAAGGAAGCGCUUCCUCCAGCUCUUCUGGUGAGGCAGGCAGUGGUCUCUGCACGCACCAGCCACGCGGGGCUCAUUCUCAGCACGGC